rnacentral:rRNA from 1 species
AUUACAUUAUCCACCCCGUUUAAGAAAAACAUACGUGAUCAGCGUUUCUGUUCGGGAUCAUCCCCCCUGUUUUUCAAAACAUCGCCUCUUGCAAAAUAAAUGAAUAAGAGGUCCCGCCUGCCCUGUGACUAUAUGUUCAACGGCCGCGGUAUUUUGACCGUGCGAAGGUAGCGCAAUCACUUGUCUUUUAAAUGAAGACCUGUAUGAAUGGCAUCACGAGGGCUUAGCUGUCUCCCCCUCCCAGUCAAUGAAAUUGAUUUUCCCGUGCAGAAGCGGGAAUAAGAACAUAAGACGAGAAGACCCUAUGGAGCUUAAGACGCCAGGACAGCUCAUGUUAAACACCCCAGAACAAAGGGAAUAAACUUAGUGAAACCCUGCCCUAGUGUCUUUGGUUGGGGCGACCACGGGGAAAAACUUAACCCCCAUGCGGAAUAGGAAUACUAUUUUCCUAGACUCAAGAGCUCCCGCUCUAAUAGACAGAAUUUCUGACCAAAAGGAUCCGGCAAUGCCGAUCAACGGACCGAGUUACCCUAGGGAUAACAGCGCAAUCCUCUUUAAGAGUCCCUAUCGACAAGAGGGUUUACGACCUCGAUGUUGGAUCAGGACAUACCUAAUGGUGCAGCCGGUAUAAGGGCUGUUCGCGGUAGCUAGGC